UCGGAAAUGGUGUACGGAACACCGCCAGCUUUCAUGAACAAAACCGAGUCGAAUCACUGGCAGUCCGGGGUUCGACUCCCCGUGUCCGAA